GACGGGAGCUUGCUCCCUUAGGUCAGCGGCGGACGGGUGAGUAACACGUGGGUAACCUGCCUGUAAGACUGGGAUAACUCCGGGAAACCGGGGCUAAUACCGGAUGCUUGAUUGAACCGCAUGGUUCAAUCAUAAAAGGUGGCUUUCAGCUACCACUUGCAGAUGGACCCGCGGCGCAUUAGCUAGUUGGUGAGGUAACGGCUCACCAAGGCGACGAUGCGUAGCCGACCUGAGAGGGUGAUCGGCCACACUGGGACUGAGACACGGCCCAGACUCCUACGGGAGGCAGCAGUAGGGAAUCUUCCGCAAUGGACGAAAGUCUGACGGAGCAACGCCGCGUGAGUGAUGAAGGUUUUCGGAUCGUAAAACUCUGUUGUUAGGGAAGAACAAGUACCGUUCGAAUAGGGCGGUACCUUGACGGUACCUAACCAGAAAGCCACGGCUAACUACGUGCCAGCAGCCGCGGUAAUACGUAGGUGGCAAGCGUUGUCCGGAAUUAUUGGGCGUAAAGCGCGCGCAGGCGGUUUCUUAAGUCUGAUGUGAAAGCCCCCGGCUCAACCGGGGAGGGUCAUUGGAAACUGGGGAACUUGAGUGCAGAAGAGGAGAGUGGAAUUCCACGUGUAGCGGUGAAAUGCGUAGAGAUGUGGAGGAACACCAGUGGCGAAGGCGACUCUCUGGUCUGUAACUGACGCUGAGGCGCGAAAGCGGGGGGAGCGAACAGGAUUAGAUACCCUGG
rnacentral:rRNA from 1 species